rfam:Salmo salar isolate Sally breed double haploid chromosome ssa09, whole genome shotgun sequence.
UGUAUUCACAACUGUAAGUUGCUCUGGAUAAGAGCGUCUGCUAAAUGACAAUGU